GUGAACGCUGGCGGUAGGCCUAACACAUGCAAGUCGAACGGCAGCACAGUAAGAGCUUGCUCUUACGGGUGGCGAGUGGCGGACGGGUGAGGAAUACAUCGGAAUCUACUUUUUCGUGGGGGAUAACGUAGGGAAACUUACGCUAAUACCGCAUACGACCUACGGGUGAAAGCAGGGGAUCUUCGGACCUUGCGCGAUUGAAUGAGCCGAUGUCGGAUUAGCUAGUUGGCGGGGUAAAGGCCCACCAAGGCGACGAUCCGUAGCUGGUCUGAGAGGAUGAUCAGCCACACUGGAACUGAGACACGGUCCAGACUCCUACGGGAGGCAGCAGUGGGGAAUAUUGGACAAUGGGCGCAAGCCUGAUCCAGCCAUACCGCGUGGGUGAAGAAGGCCUUCGGGUUGUAAAGCCCUUUUGUUUGGAAAGAAAAGCAGCAGGUUAAUACCCCGCUGUUCUGACGGUACCCAAAGAAUAAGCACCGGCUAACUUCGUG
rnacentral:rRNA from 1 species